UGGAUGAAGAAAAGAUGAGCGAGUGGUUAAGGGAAGUUUACGCGAAGAGGCCGGGUGGCUUUUUUCACGCAGCUCCGUCCAUGUUGAUAUACGACUCCAUGCGCGCCCACAUCACAGAUGGUGUCAAAAAACAAGUGAAGCACACAAAUACAACACUCGCCGUCAUUCCGGGUGGAUUAACCAAAGAACUCCAACCGCUCGAUAUUGGUGUCAACAAGGCAUUUAAAGCAUGACUGCGAACGGCGUGGGAACAAUGGAUGACCGAAGGCGAACACACAUUCACUAAGACAGGGAGACAGCGCCGGACGACAUACGCCAACAUCUGCCAGUGGAUCGUAAAUGCCUGGGCGGAUAUUUCGGUCUCAACUGUGGUCCGAGCUUUCCGGAAGGCAGGAUUCACGGAACUGCUGGAAAAACAACAGCGACACUGACUCUGAUGACUUCGACGAGACGGAGCCGGCCAUUUUGGAACCGUAUUCGCCCAACUUUUUAAUUCGGACACCGUAGGAGAAGAAUUCGAGGGAUUUAUGAAUGAAGAAUAACUUCAGAAAGUGAGUGUUAUGUUUAUUUUGUGUGUUGUGACAUUAACGUUCGAGCAACAUUAAGUUAUUGAUGUUAUUGCUCUGCACUAUUUUGAAUUUUACUAUGUUUGUGAUUGCACAUUUGCACAUUACCGUACAUUUUGGGAGUGAACAGAGUUGUUAGAACGCUGGUUUUUAAUAUAUUAUUAAAGUUUAACUGACCUAUCUGACUGUUUUUUUGACAUUCCCUUUAGCGCAGUUAGAUGCGGCUUAUAACACGGGGCGGCUUAUGGUGCGGAAAAUACGGUAUGUAAAUAUGUGACAAACUGCUGAUUAACAUUACAUUUAACUACAUUAAAUUACAAUAGAUCAGCAACACCGUAUAAUAAACAAAUACAAAAUAUUGCAAUAUAUUGACAUUGUGUGUAUAAAUAUGACUAUAAAUGCAUGCGCAUGCAAAAAAAGUGUGACGUCAUGAGUCCAUAUUAUGACGUGCACAGUCUCCACAGCUCAAGCAUCACACACACACACACACACACACUCUGGACGAGCAUACUCAGUGUGCUUCUUCUUCAUGAGCUUGUUUAUGCAUUUUGAAAGAUAACCAAAACAACGAGAUUAAAGGUAAGCACUUUCACUUACAUUUCAAAGAUGUCUAUAUUUUUUUUAUUUAUAAUUGAUUCUUGUUUUAGUUUGUGAGUUUGAGUGAGGAUGAGGAAGAUCAACCUUCAUCUGCUUGUCAUGUUCUUUUUCUCAAGCAGCAGGGCGGAAAGUGCAGAAGAGCGUUUAGUGAACGACUUGUUGGGUCCGCAGCGCUACAACAAACUGAUCAGACCAGCAGUCAAUACGAGUCAGCAGGUCAUCAUUUCUAUUCGUGUUUCUUUGUCUCAACUUAUCAGUGUUAACGAGCGAGAACAGAUCAUGACGACUAACGUGUGGUUGUCUCAGGAGUGGAAUGAUUUCAGACUGAGGUGGGAUCCUGACAAGUACGAAGGCAUCAAGAAACUAAGAAUACCAUCCAAACUCCUCUGGCUUCCUGACAUCGUGCUUUACAACAAUGCUGAUGGCGUGUACGAAGUGUCCUUCUACUGCAACACGGUGGUGUCCAACACAGGGGACAUUGUGUGGUUGCCGCCCGCCAUCUACAAAUCAGCCUGCGCCAUCGAAGUACAGAACUUCCCCUUUGACCAGCAGAACUGCACCCUAAAGUUCCGCUCCUGGACUUAUGAUCACACAGAGGUGGACUUGAUGCUCACCAGCGACUUCGCCAGCCGUGACGACUUCACGCCCAGUGGAGAGUGGGACAUUGUGUCGCUUCCUGGACGCAAGAAUGAGGACCCAAAUGACAUCACUUACUUGGACAUCACCUAUGACUUUGUUAUCAAGAGGAAGCCGCUCUUCUACACAAUUAAUCUGAUCAUUCCCUGCGUGCUCAUUACCUCUUUGGCUAUUUUGGUCUUCUACCUGCCAUCAGACUGUGGUCAGAAGAUGACUUUGUGUAUUUCAGUGCUGCUAGCGCUCACUGUGUUUCUGCUGCUUAUUUCCAAGAUUGUACCACCCACCUCGCUGGCAGUGCCACUCAUUGGUAAAUACCUCAUGUUUACUAUGGUGUUGGUCACCUUCUCCAUCGUGACCAACGUUUGCGUCCUGAACGUUCAUCACCGCUCUCCAUCCACCCACCACAUGCCUAAGUGGGUCAACCGCCUCUUCCUGGUCCAACUCCCUACAUUACUUUUCAUGAGGCGUCCAGGUGUGACUAACGUCCGUAAAAGAGUCAAGAGGAUGUGUGCGGAACGCAACACCGUCAGAAAGAAUCCUUCUCAGACGGCAAGAGAUAAGCGACGCUUGUCUAACGUGAACCUGAGUGAAGUUCGGACUAAUACCAACUCCUCCUAUGUGAACGCAAACUGGGCCCACAAGUAUUGCUGGAGGCUGGGAGACAUCCCGGACAUCGGGUAUGGAUGUCCAGACGUCCACAGGCCUUUGACCACCCAGUGGGAAGCUGAUGUGCAGGAGGCGGUGGAAGGAGUGAAAUACAUUGCUGAGCACAUGAAGAAAGAAGAUGAUGACGAAGGAAUAAUAGAGGACUGGAAGUAUGUUGCCAUGGUGAUAGACCGUUUGUUUCUUUGGAUCUUCAUCUUGGUGUGUGUGGUCGGAACACUGGGGCUCUUCAUGCAGCCGCUGUUUCAAAGCUACAACACACCCGUCGCUGAGGACGCGGAGUAAGACACACACACACACACACACACACACACACACACACACACACACACACACACACACACACACACACACAAAGUGAAACAAGGGGGGCCAAAGACGAGUGUCUCAUGAGGAAACAACAGGCCUCCAGGAAUAGAUUUAAAAAAGAUGGCCCCCAAGGUCUAUCUGUUAAGUGAAGCCCAAUAAGGGGAAGGAGCCAGGGGGUCUAUCAUGGAAAGACAUGUACCACCCACAACUUGACAACUGGCAUCGAGAAAACAUAUCAAUGGCUGGAAAAGGCUGGACUGAAAGACAGCACAAAAGCAUUAAUAAUGGCUGCCCAGGAACACAAGGUUAAUACAAUGGAGUCUACCACAUCAGACAGAACACAUCGUCAUUUGGCACUACAGUACUGUUGCAGUUGAGUCGUCAUGGGGAGCGGUCGCAUUUUUUUCCCGCUCUCACUGUAGCAUACAAGCGAAGUCUCGCUUAAUUCCACACUUUCUCCUUUUUCUAUUGUGGAUCAUGGAUUUAUAUUUCAAACCACCUCGGAUACUUUACCCUCUCGGAAAUGAGAGUCGUGAACGCGAAAUGGACAAUCACAGUGAUUGUUAUCUCAUCGACAAUACAUCGGCGAAGCACUUUAGCUUCGGAGCUAACAUGAUAGCCUCGUGCUUGACUGCAGAUCGAAACAGAAGAAACAUGCCCCUGACUGGAAGGAUUGACCGAAGAUCAACAAUACUACUAUUACUUCUACUCUCAGGAGACACUGAACUUAACCCUGGACCUGUAAUCACCCGGUUAAUGUUGUCCCGGCUGGCAAAGCCUAGCAAUGCUGCUGCUAACGACGCCAUUGAAGCUAACUUUGCUACAGGACCUCCUAUCUGCUCAUCCCAACCCGAGCUCACCUGGGCUCCAGCGAUCGGCGGCUCGACAGAUGACUUCACCCUGUUCAUCGACACGGUCGGCGGUGGCGGUGGAGGACGACCGGCGAACAGCGCAGCGGCGGUCAACAAGGUGACUGUCGACAUCAACACCCCGGUCUGCAGUAGAGACGGAGUAGUGGAGGGCCACGCGGCCUCUCCCCGGUCCCUGACGGUCGAGGACGUGGCGUCUGGACCCACGGCCUACACAGGAUUUAGGGGCUCCUUCGUCCUACCAUGGUCAUUGUUUUCGCGAAAAUGAAAUCAACAACCACCCCCCCCCCCCCUCUCUCUCCAACUCCGCCCCUCACCAAUGCCCGCAAAAAAAACAAAACACCCUGGCCCCCCCCUCUCCAACUCCGCCCCUCCCCCAUCACCUGGAUGAAGAUCAAUAUGCCUCUCUCCCCUUCUCUCCUCUCCCUCCUGCUCUCCCAAGCAUCUCCAGCCAAACAGCGAACUGAACUGCUCUCCGAGUUCAACUUCAAUAACAACCAACAACUUUUCUGGACAGUGCCACUACACAGCGGACUCUGAUGCUCUUUUUGGUUCCAGUGGACUACACAUCAUCCACCUUAAUGUGAACAGACUCUCUGGAACCAAACUCGACCAAAUCAGAGAAAUGUUCCUCAACACGAAGGUAUGGAGAUUUCUAGGAUGAUUUUGAAUUUGCUCAACUUAAACUGAGAUGCUCUGCCAGGUGCUCUCCUGGGCGAGUUGGUGUAAAGUCAGCUGCUAGCUGGCCCGUGUGUAUUGUCAAGGUAGAAACCAUGACACACUGUGUAUUUAUAUCUGUAUUUAUAUUAGGGAUGCACGAUAAAUAUUGGACCAAUAAUUAUUGAGCUGGUCCGAUAACAUAAAAACAUAGCUCAGAUCAUCUUCAAGUCGCUUUCUGACAGUCGCUUCAGAAUGCGCCGUUUUUUGGCGAUCUUAUUUUUACGUGGCUCACGCUCGGUGUAGCGUGCAAGGACGGGAGUGGAAGAAGUGUCAAAAGAUGGAGCUUGAGCCCCCCUAAAAUAGGCCUAACAACGCCAAUGUUGUCAGGUAUGUUUAUAUUUCACUGUGUUAUCGUACGUCACUCCCCUUUUCUCCAUGAAACCAACGUGAGAGGUGCUCCCCAAUUGGCAGAAAAAGAUUGACUACAUUUGUAUUUCCUGUAUUGCCACGAGUUGCCCUGGUGUUGGUCGUGUUUAUUAAAGCCGACACACAACGCAAAGGAAGAAAACAUUGUUGUAGUCUGUUUCUGUCAUCUUUCUACUGUGUUUCUACUGUCUGUACAGACUU